rnacentral:rRNA from 1 species
CAACUUUUAACAACGGAUCUCUUGGUUCUCGCAUCGAUGAAGAACGUAGCAAAGUGCGAUAACUAGUGUGAAUUGCAUAUUCAGUGAAUCAUCGAGUCUUUGAACGCAACUUGCGCCCAAUGGACCCUUCCAUUGGGCACGCUUGUUUCAGUAACAGA